CUCUCUCCAUUUCCGAUCUAAACCUUCUUCUCCAUUUUUUUCCACACCUUUCUUUAUUCAUCCCCCUUUCUUCAUCCUAUGCACAAUUUCUUCAUCAAUCAAAUUGGCGAUUUUUCCUUAUAACUUCCUUUCAUGUUUUUGUUGUUAACCUCCUCAUCCUUGAAACUUACCCGUGAAUUUUGGUUAUUAGGUAUGUUUUCUCAUCAUAACUUAUUUCAAACCUCUUGGUGUUAUCUUGGAAAUGCAUGCUAAUUUGUUGUUAUUGAAAACAUUUUUAUCGGAACAAACUUAUGUGUUGC
rnacentral:lncRNA from 1 species